AUGGGCGCAAGCCUGAUCCAGCCAUGCCGCGUGAGUGAUGAAGGCCCUAGGGUUGUAAAGCUCUUUUGUGCGGGAAGAUAAUGACGGUACCGCAAGAAUAAGCCCCGGCUAACUUCGUGCCAGCAGCCGCGGUAAUACGAAGGGGGCUAGCGUUGCUCGGAAUCACUGGGCGUAAAGGGUGCGUAGGCGGGUCUUUAAGUCAGGGGUGAAAUCCUGGAGCUCAACUCCAGAACUGCCUUUGAUACUGAAGAUCUUGAGUUCGGGAGAGGUGAGUGGAACUGCGAGUGUAGAGGUGAAAUUCGUAGAUAUUCGCAAGAACACCAGUGGCGAAGGCGGCUCACUGGCCCGAUACUGACGCUGAGGCACGAAAGCGUGGGGAGCAAACAGGAUUAGAUACCCUGGUAGUCCACGCCGUAAACGAUGAGUGCUAGGUGUUGUGGGUAUUGACCCCCGCAGUGCCAAAGCUAACGCGUUAAGCACUCCGCCUGGGGAGUAC
rnacentral:rRNA from 1 species